ensembl:lncRNA
UAUUUUCUUUUUUUUUUUUUUGUUUCCUCCUCCUUUAUUGGACACUUGGUAGAUGACUCAUAGAUCUACACUGUUAAAUAAUUAUUAAAAUACCGACCAGGACUAGGCCCUGUCCCAGAGCUCCAAACCAGAAGCAAUAAAGAACGGGGGUGAUGGGCUGGUGGUAUUUCUCCAACAUCACCGAAACCCAUAAUGAGGCUCUUGAAUCCUUCCAGGGCCAGAGCAGGGCUUGGGCCCUGGGGUUAACCCAGGCACCCCUGGCUGCAUCUUUCAGGGCAAGGUCACAGCAAGGGUCUGGAGGGAACAGCCAGCCGAGUCCAGACAGACAGACCCAAAUGGAAGGAGGGUAGGAAAUGGACAGGCGCUGUCCAGCUGGAGAUAGGAUGCAGUGAAGGCAGGCUGAGGGGAGAGGCUGGGGGCAGCAUUGUGGCAGUGCGGGAGUGCGGCCCCAGGGUCCUGUCCUGAGUGGCUGGUCAGGUGUCAGCUGGCAGUCUCCAGGUGGCAUUCCUGACCCAAGCCUAGCUGAGGGCUCACACGUUGUGGGUCCUCUUGGUGAGCUGGGGCUCCUCAUCCACCAGCUUGGACUUGAGGUGCUCCUUGUAGGCUAGGAUGUCUCCAGGCCACUUGGUGAUUGUCUGCUUCUCACAGACCCAACUCUCCUGUGCAACCUGCUGGAUGAGUCUGAAGUCAUGGCUGAUGAGCAUCAUGCCACUCUCGAACUCAUUGAUGGCAUCUGCCAGAGCAUCAAUGGUCUCGAUGUCCAGGUGAUUGGUAGGCUCGUCCAGAAAGAGCAUGUGCGGAUUCUGCCAGGCCAGCCAGGCCAGACACACUCGGCACUUCUGCCCAUCUGACAGGUUCCAGAUUGGGCUCACCUGCUGUUUCCCAGUGAGGCCAUAUCUCCCAAUGAUCUUCCUCAUCUCCUCCUUCUCCUUGACCUCUGGGUAGCACUUCAUCAUGUACUCCAAAGGGGAAAGGUCCAGGUCCAGCUGCUCCUGUAAGUGCUGAUGGUAACGCCCUAUCUUGACAUGAGGAUGCUUCCGGAUCAUUCCAUCUGUAGGCAGAAGCUCUCCAGUUAGCAGCUUCAACAGAGUGGACUUCCCUGCUCCGUUGGGCCCUACCAGAGCCACUCGUGUGUCAAGGUCAAUGCCAAAUUCUAGAUUAUUCGUCUUGUCACUCACAACCCUUUCUGUCAGUCCGGAUGUCAUCAUUUUCUGUAGUGUUUUCUCUUUGCUUUGAGCCUGCCGGGCCAGCGUGGCACUGCCAUGGCCAAACCUGGCAAUGUAGUUCUUCAUGUGUGCUAUCUGGUCCUGCUCCCAGUGAAACCUCUUCAUCUGGUUCUCUUCCAGCUCCAGCCGUGUCUUCACAUACUGAUCAUAAUUACCCGUGUAGUACUUCAGUUUCUUGUUGUGCAUGUGGAUGAUAUUGGUGCAGACCCCAUUCAGGAAGUCCUGGGAAUGGGACACAAGGACCAGGAUGCGCUUGAAAGUCUUGAGUUCCUCUUCCAGCCACACGCAAGCAUCCAGGUCCAGGUGGUUGGUAGGCUCGUCCAGCAGCAGCAUGAAGGGUCGAAUGAAGAGGGCUCUAGCAAGAGCAACUCUCAUCCGCCAGCCACCACUGAAGUCUUUCAGCUUCUUGCGCUACAUGGCAGGUGUGAAACCCAAUCCGUGUAAGAUCCUUGAGGCCCUCAUCUCAGCUUUGUCAGCAUCCAGCUC